CUGGUUCAGAACGAACGCUGGCGGCGUGCUUAACACAUGCAAGUCGAACGCGAAAGGGGACUUCGGUCCUGAGUAAAGUGGCGCACGGGUGAGUAACGCGUAGAUAACCUGUCUUCAUGUCUGGAAUAAUACGCCAAAGGGGUACUAAUACCGGAUAUCUUGCUUUUCAUAAGUUAUGCAAGCAAAGGUGGCCUCUGCAUAUGCUACUGCAUGAAGAGGGGUCUGCGUACCAUUAGCUAGUAGGUGGGGUAAUGGCCUACCUAGGCGACGAUGGUUAGCGGGUCUGAGAGGAUGAUCCGCCACACUGGCACUGGAACACGGGCCAGACUCCUACGGGAGGCAGCAGUGAGGAAUAUUGCGCAAUGGGGGAAACCCUGACGCAGCGACGCCGCGUGAGUGAGGAAGGCCUUCGGGUCGUAAAGCUCUGUCAAGAGGAAAGAAGUGUACAAUGGCUAAUACCUGUUGUAUUUGACGGUACCUCUAAAGGAAGCACCGGCUAACUCCGUGCCAGCCGCCGC
rnacentral:rRNA from 1 species